rnacentral:rRNA from 1 species
GGUAACGUCCCAACAAGCCGAUAAUCGGUACGGGUUGUGAGAGCAAGAGCCCGGAGAUGGAUUCUGAGACACGAAUCCAGGUCCUACGGGGCGCAGCAGGCGCGAAAACUUUACACUGCGCGAAAGCGCGAUAAGGGGACCUCGAGUGCGUGCGCAAUGCGUACGCUUUUCAGAUGCCUAAAAAGCAUGUGGAAUAAGGGCCGGGCAAGACCGGUGCCAGCCGCCGCGGUAACACCGGCGGCUCAAGUGGUGGCCGCUAUUAUUGGGCUUAAAGGGUCCGUAGCCGGACCAGUUAGUCCCUUGGGAAAUCUUACGGCUUAACCGUAAGGCUGCCAAUGGAUACUGCUGGUCUUGGGACCGGGAGAGGUAAGAGGUACCUCAGGGGUAGGAGUGAAAUCCUGUAAUCCUUGAGGGACCGCCAGUGGCGAAGGCGUCUUACUAGAACGGGUCCGACGGUGAGGGACGAAAGCUAGGGGCACGAACCGGAUUAGAUACCCGGGUAGUCCUAGCCGUAAACGAUGCGAGCUAGGUGUCACGUGGAUUGCGAAUCCAUGUGGUGCCGAAGGGAAACCGUGAAGCUCGCCGCCUGGGAAGUACGGCCGCAAGGCUGAAACUUAAAGGAAUUGGCGGGGGAGCAC